rnacentral:rRNA from 1 species
CGUAUAACAAAGAGAAGCGAGACGGAGACGUUAAGCGAAACCCAAAAAAGUAAGUCUCAGUUCGGAUUGAAGGCUGAAAUUCGCCUUCAUGAAGCCGGAAUUGCUAGUAAUGGCAGGUCAGCAUACUGCCGUGAAUACGUUCCCGGGCCUUGUACACACCGCCCGUCACACCAUGAGAGUUGGGAAUACCCGAAGCCUGUGAGCUAACGAAAGAGGCAGCAGUCGAAGGUAGAAUCAAUGAUUGGGGUGAAGUCGUAACAAGGUACC